AUUGAACGCUGGCGGAAUGCUUUACACAUGCAAGUCGAACGGUAGAGGGGCAACCCUUGAGAGUGGCGAACGGGUGAGUAAUGUAUCGGAACAUGCCCAGUCGUGGGGGAUAACGUAGCGAAAGUUACGCUAAUACCGCAUACGAUCUAUGGAUGAAAGCGGGGGAUCGCAAGACCUCGCGCGAUUGGAGUGGCCGAUAUCAGAUUAGGUAGUUGGUGGGGUAAAGGCCUACCAAGCCGACGAUCUGUAGCUGGUCUGAGAGGACGACCAGCCACACUGGGACUGAGACACGGCCCAGACUCCUACGGGAGGCAGCAGUGGGGAAUUUUGGACAAUGGGCGAAAGCCUGAUCCAGCCAUUCCGCGUGCAGGAAGAAGGCCUUCGGGUUGUAAACUGCUUUUGUACGGAACGAAACGCGCUGUGCUAAUACCACGGCGUAAUGACGGUACCGUAAGAAUAAGCACCGGCUAACUACGUGCCAGCAGCCGCAGUAAGAC
rnacentral:rRNA from 1 species